rnacentral:rRNA from 1 species
AGGAUUCCCCUAGUAACUGCGAGUGAAGCGGGAAAAGCUCAAAUUUAAAAUCUGGUAGUCUCUGGCUGCCCGAGUUGUAAUCUAGAGAAGCAUUAUCCGCGCUGGACCGUGUAUAAGUGUUCUGGAAUGGACCAUCAUAGAGGGUGAGAAUCCCGUCUUUGACACGGACUCCCAGGGCUUUGUGAUGUGCUCUCAAAGAGUCGAGUUGUUUGGGAAUGCAGCUCUAAAUGGGUGGUAAAUUCCAUCUAAAGCUAAAUAUUGGCGAGAGACCGAUAGCGAACAAGUACCGUGAGGGAAAGAUGAAAAGAACUUUGGAAAGAGAGUUAAACAGUACGUGAAAUUGCUGAAAGGGAAACGCUUGAAGUCAGUCGCGUUGGCUGGGGAUCAACCUUGCUUUUGCUUGGCUUACUUCCCAGUUGACGGGUCAGCAUCAGUUUUGACCGGUGGAUAAAGGCCAGGGGAAUGUGGCACCUACGGGUGUGUUAUAGCCCUUGGUCAUAUACACUGGUUGG